GGGUUGUGAGGUUAAGCGACUAAGCGUACACGGUGGAUGCCCUGGCAGUCAGAGGCGAUGAAGGACGUGCUAAUCUGCGAAAAGCGCCGGCGAGGUGAUAUGAACCCUUGACCCGGCGAUGUCCGAAUGGGGAAACCCAGUGUGAUUCGUCACACUAUCGUUAACUGAAUACAUAGGUU
rnacentral:rRNA from 1 species